rnacentral:lncRNA from 1 species
AUACUUUCAGCUUUCCAAGGAGAAACUGCUCAUCAUGUGCUGCUGUAACCUAAGGCCAACGCUCUCAAAACCAGAUACAUAAGGAUAUCAGUGUUGCUGUGUGUUUCCUUCUUACGCCCCUCCUGCAGAAAGCCUUCUGAGUGUUCUCCAGAUAGAAAAGCCCUCCCUGCCUGCACUUUCCCAACACUGGCGCUCCAAGGUACACAAGGUGAAAAGCAUGCCAUACCCAACAGGUCAAAAAGCCUGCUCCCUGGUUCUUUGGCUACACGGAAGUCUAAGCUGCAGUGAGCUCAUCUCUCCAGCCCUGAAACCAGCCCCAUAUGCCAGGUAUGAGCUGCCAUGAGAAAUCACUUACUCACCUACCUGGUGCAUCUCUUAGCAGCUGAGCUGCAUUGCACUCGCUAGCAAGAGGCAUAUUGUUUGCUAAGGCUGUUAA